GACGAACGCUGGCGGCGUGCCUAAUACAUGCAAGUCGAGCGAAGUUUUUCUGGUGCUUGCACCGGAAAAACUUAGCGGCGAACGGGUGAGUAACACGUAAAGAACCUGCCUCAUAGACUGGGACAACUAUUGGAAACGAUAGCUAAUACCGGAUAACAGCAUUAACUGCAUGGUUGAUGUUUAAAAGUUGGUUUUGCUAACACUAUGAGAUGGCUUUGCGGUGCGUUAGCUAGUUGGUGGGGUAAAGGCCUACCAAGGCGACGAUGCAUAGCCGACCUGAGAGGGUGAUCGGCCACACUGGGACUGAGACACGGCCCAGACUCCUACGGGAGGCAGCAGUAGGGAAUCUUCCGCAAUGGGCGAAAGCCUGACGGAGCAACGCCGCGUGAGUGAAGAAGGAUUUCGGUUCGUAAAGCUCUGUUGUUAGGGAAGAAUGAUUGUGUAGUAACUAUACACAGUAGAGACGGUACCUAACCAGAAAGCCACGGCUAACUACGUG
rnacentral:rRNA from 1 species